GGCCUACCAUGGUGGUAACGGGUAACGGGGUGUUAGGGCACGACACCGGAGAGGGAGCCUGAGAAACGGCUACCACAUCCAAGGAAGGCAGCAGGCGCGCAAAUUACCCAAUCCCGACACGGGGAGGUAGUGACAAUAAAUAACAAUACAGGGUUCUUUAGGAUCUUGUAAUUGGAAUGAGUACAAUUUAAAUCUCUUAACGAGGAACAAUUGGAGGGCAAGUCUGGUGCCAGCAGCCGCGGUAAUUCCAGCUCCAAUAGCGUAUAUUAAAGUUGUUGCAGUUAAAAAGCUCGUAGUUGAACUUCGGGAUCAAUUGAUCGGUCAUGCCAUUGGUAUGUACUGGUCAUAUUGGUUCUCACCUUCUAAGGAACCUUAAUGUCAUUCAUUUGAUGUUUUGGGGAAUUAGGACUGUUACCUUGAAAAAAUUAGAGUGUUUAAAGCAGGCUAACGCUUGAAUACAUUACCAUGGAAUAAUGAAAUAGGACAUCGCAUUCUAUUUUGUUGGUUUCUAGGAUCGAUGUAAUGAUUAAUAGGGAUAGUUGGGGGCAUUAGUAUUCAAUUGUCAGAGGUGAAAUUCUUGGAUUUUAUUGAAGACUAACUACUGCGAAAGCAUUUGCCAAGGAUGUUUUCAUUAAUCAAGAACGAAAGUUAGGGGAUCGAAGACGAUCAGAUACCGUCGUAGUCUUAACCAUAAACUAUGCCGACUAGGGAUCGGAUGAUGUUGAUUUUUUAAUGACUCAUUCGGCACCUUACG
rnacentral:rRNA from 1 species